GUGGGGAAUAUUGGACAAUGGGCGAAAGCCUGAUCCAGCAAUGCCGCGUGAGUGAUGAAGGCCUUAGGGUUGUAAAGCUCUUUUACCAGGGAUGAUAAUGACAGUACCUGGAGAAUAAGCUCCGGCUAACUCCGUGCCAGCAGCCGCGGUAAUACGGAGGGAGCUAGCGUUGUUCGGAAUUACUGGGCGUAAAGCGCGCGUAGGCGGUCUAUUAAGUCAGGGGUGAAAUCCCGGGGCUCAACCCCGGAACUGCCCUUGAAACUGGCAGACUAGAAUCUUGGAGAGGCGAGUGGAAUUCCGAGUGUAGAGGUGAAAUUCGUAGAUAUUCGGAAGAACACCAGUGGCGAAGGCGACUCGCUGGACAAGUAUUGACGCUGAGGUGCGAAAGCGUGGGGAGCAA
rnacentral:rRNA from 1 species